GACGAACGCUGGCGGCGUGCUUAACACAUGCCAGUCGAACGGAAAGGCCCUGCUUUUGUGGGGUGCUCGAGUGGCGAACGGGUGAGUAACACGUGAGUAACCUGCCCUUGACUUUGGGAUAACUUCAGGAAACUGGGGCUAAUACCGGAUAGGAGCUCCUGCUGCAUGGUGGGGGUUGGAAAGUUUCGGCGGUUGGGGAUGGACUCGCGGCUUAUCAGCUUGUUGGUGGGGUAGUGGCUUACCAAGGCUUUGACGGGUAGCCGGCCUGAGAGGGUGACCGGCCACAUUGGGACCGAGAUACGGCCCAGACUCCUACGGGAGGCAGCAGUGGGGAAUAUUGCACAAUGGGCGGAAGCCUGAUGCAGCAACGCCGCGUGCGGGAUGACGGCCUUCGGGUUGUAAACCGCUUUCGCCUGUGACGAAGCGUGAGUGACGGUAAUGGGUAAAGAAGCACCGGCUAACUACGUG
rnacentral:rRNA from 1 species